CGGAUAUUCCAUACUACAUGGAUAACUGUGGUAAUUCUAGAGCUAAUACAUGAAUCAAAGCUCCAACCACGGCUUUGGCUCGGGGUAUGGCAACAUGCUCUCCAAAGUUUGUCGGAAGGAGUGCAUUUAUUAGUCCAAGACCAAUGAUCCUUAAUCACCCAGGACACUCUCCAGUAUACGGCCAGUGUGUACAGGCUUCACGGCUUGCAACUGCUGGUGUCGGUCUGGAUGUAAGACCUGGCAGUGGGGAUCUCAGCACUUUCGUGUUCUCGCAACACAUUGUGCGAUACUUGGUAUGGUGACUCUGAAUAACUGAGCAAAUCGUACGGCCACUGUGCCGACGAUGUAUCCCUCAAGCAACUGCCUUAUCAACUUUCGAUGGUAGGUUAUGCGCCUACCAUGGUUGUAACGGGUAACGGGGAAUCAGGGUUCGAUUCCGGAGAGGGAGCCUGAGAAACGGCUACCACAUCCAAGGAAGGCAGCAGGCGCGCAAAUUACCCACUCCCGGCACGGGGAGGUAGUGACGAAAAAUAACAAUAUGGAACUCUUUUGGGUCUCCAUAAUUGGAAUGAGUACAAUUUAAAUCCUUUAACGAGGAUCUAUUGGAGGGCAAGUCUGGUGCCAGCAGCCGCGGUAAUUCCAGCUCCAAUAGCGUAUAUUAAAGUUGUUGCGGUUAAAAAGCUCGUAGUUGGAUUUCAGUUCAACCUAUGGGGUCCACUGAAAAAGGGUACCAUCAGUCCACUGGAUGUGCCGCGUGUGCGGUGUCUAAAAUUGUGAUCACCUCUAACCGGGUGCUCUCACAAUCAUCGUACACCGGUGCUUCCCAGUCUGGUGUACCUGGUGGCUACUACCAUAGUUGUUGGACACAAUCGUGCCCGAUUUUUGCUUCUAAUGCUCUUAAGUGAGUGUUAGUUCAAGCAAUCGGGACUUUUACCUUGAAAAAAUUAGAGUGCUCAAAGCAGGCGUACAAACCCUCGCAAGAGGUGCCUAUAACGGGUAUGUGCAGCUAUUUAACUCUCUCCCUACCCGGGGGAGGUAUGCGAUAGUCCUGUCACAUUCCUUACCUUGAAUAAUCUUGCAUGGAAUAAUGGAAUAGGACCUCGGUUCUAUUUUGUUGGUCUUCGGAAUCUGAGGUAAUGAUUAAGAGGGACAGACGGGGGCAUUCGUAUUGCGACGCUAGAGGUGAAAUUCUUGGACCGUCGCAAGACGAACUACAGCGAAAGCAUUUGCCAAGAAUGUUUUCAUUAAUCAAGAACGAAAGUUAGAGGUUCGAAGGCGAUCAGAUACCGCCCUAGUUCUAACCAUAAACGAUGCCAACCAGCGAUCAGCCUGAGUUUUUUCUUAAUGACUCGGCUGGCAGCUUCCGGGAAACCAAAGUUUUUGGGUUCCGGGGGAAGUAUGGUUGCAAAGCUGAAACUUAAAGGAAUUGACGGAAGGGCACCACCAGGAGUGGAGCCUGCGGCUUAAUUUGACUCAACACGGGAAAACUCACCCGGCCCGGACACUGAGAGGAUUGACAGAUUGAGAGCUCUUUCUUGAUUCAGUGGAUGGUGGUGCAUGGCCGUUCUUAGUUGGUGGAGCGAUUUGUCUGGUUAAUUCCGAUAACGAACGAGACUCUAGCCUACUAAAUAGACCCACAAUUUUCCCUGGUAGUAUCACCUACUCGGGUGGCCGUAGGGAUGGCCAGUGUGUGCGCGCGGUGCCGCUUGGUUUCACGAUCGAGUGUGUGCCGUGUGUGUGUGCUAGUUGUUACUCAACUUGCGGUGUCUCCGGGAUAGGUUGCUCCAGCAUUGUGGGGACUUCUUAGAGGGACAAGCGGCGUCCGCAGCCGCACGAAACAGAGCAAUAACAGGUCUGUGAUGCCCUUAGAUGUCCGGGGCCGCACGCGCGCUACACUGAAGUGGCCACCGUGCUUUACAAAUCCUGCUCCGAAAGGAGUGGGUAACCGCCUCAACCCAUUUCGUGAUUAGGGAUUGGGCAUUGUAAUUAUUGCCCAUGAACGAGGAAUUCCCAGUAAGCGUGAGUCAUUAGCUUGCGUUGAUUACG
rnacentral:rRNA from 1 species